GCGGCAGUGGUGGAACGGUAGACACGCUACCUUGAGGGGGUAGUGCCCUACGGGUGUGGAGGUUCAAAUCCUCUCUGCCGCACCA
rnacentral:tRNA from 2 species